rnacentral:tRNA from 1 species
GCCCGGAUGGCGGAAUGGUAGACGCGGCGGUCUCAAACACCGCUGGCUUCACGGCCGUGUGGGUUCGAGUCCCACUCCGGGCACAA